UCCCCAGGUCAGAGCCAUCACUGAGAAGGCCCUGGCCCUGGAUCCAGCAGGGCCAGGGCCUUCUCAGUGAUGGCUCCAACCUGGUGA